GGUUCCGUGGUUCUAGCAUGGUCGCUUAGUGAUCUACACUUGGCUUUAAUUGUUUAACUACUCACUUUUAGGACCUAUGUUCAUUUAUCCCUUUAACCGAUUUUAGUCACUUUAUUAUUUGUAAUUAAAGAAUCGAGUUAUGCAUACAUAUACUCAUUUCUUUUGGGGCGUCAAAAAUCAUGUCACACGAACGUGUCCACAAUUAAUAACCUUUUGUUUAUUUAUUAAGAAAAUUUGAUAGAAGUUGCACAAACGCAUCCCUCGAUUUAUUAUUUUUACAACGAAAUUCAUAAUUAUGUUAU
rnacentral:lncRNA from 1 species